rnacentral:lncRNA from 1 species
CGGCUGGGGGCUUUAUUAGGGGGCACCGGGGUCUGCUUUCCGACUCCCUUCCGACUCCGCGCCUGCGCAGGAAGCGAUUUGGGGAGUGUUGUGAAUUCCGAGGGCUCCACACUUAAGAGGUUGUACACUCACCUGUCUACCUGGACUCCAAUUUCCAUAUUUCCAGCCACUUGAGGACUGAGAGGUGGAUGAUAAACCCUGUCAUAGUGGAGCAAGUUCAGGUGUUUAACCGCUGUUAUGGGGGAUCUGCCUUUUCUCCCUCUUCUUUCUUACUUCCAUAAGUAUGUAUGUGCAGAGAUUGAAAAAUAACCUUGAGAGAGUCCAUCCAUCUAACUCCAGUUCAUUGGAAAUUUCUGCUUCUUUGAGACUGAGGUUAUAUUCCACUUCUUCUGACUACACCACCACCAUCAAUCUCCUUCUCUGAACUCUUGGAUCAUUACUUCAACCUGAAACAACUCAUCAGGUAUCUAUAAAGGCAGAAUAGUUGCCUACUGCCCCAACCCCACCAAAUGUUCCAGCACCUCUGAUAUUACCUCACAUGGCAAGAGGGCUUUGAAGAUGUGAUUGAGUCAAGGAUCUUGAAUGGGGAGAUUAUCCUGAAUUAUUCAGCUGGACCCAGUGUAAUCACAAAGGUUUUUCAAAGAUGGAAGAGAGGCAGAAGAGCCAGAAAAGGAUAUGUGACAAUGGAGUCAGUGUCAGAGUUGGAGUGACGUGAUGUGAGAAGGAUUCAACCUGCUGUUUCUGGCUUUGAGGAUGAAAGAAGGGGCCAUGAGCCAAGCAAUACAGGUGGCUUCUUUCAAGAAGUUGGAAAAGGUAAGGAAAUGGGUUCUCACCUAGAACUGCUGGAAAGCAACCCAGCCCUACUGACACCAUGAUUUUAGCUCAGUGAGACUCUGUCCAGAUUUCUGACCUCUAGAACUAUAAGAUAAUAAAUUUGCAUUGUUUUAAGCCACUAAGUUUGUGGUAAUUUGAUAAAGCAUCAACAAAAAAUGAACACUUCUUCCCAGCAGGACUCCUUUUGAAGACCAGUUCUGUAUACAUCAUCGUAUCCAGUGUAAGUACUGGAUGUAAAUAUGGAUCAAUAAUUUGGAAUUUACUGAGGUUUCCAGUGGUGAGGCACAAUAACUUGUAAUUUGCAAUUUUUUGUAGUGGAGAAGAGAUAACCAUGAGUCAGCUCUCUUUCUGCAUACACAUUUCCAUUGCAGCACAAGUUAAAGAUACUGGAGAAAUUCCCCAUCUCACUACCAAGGACAGACCUAACUGACAAUAAAUUCAUCUAUAGCCCAGUCAGGGUUUUCCCCUCAUUGUCCCUGCCUUCCACAAUUGCAGCUAGUUUUCAAAAAGAUACAUAAAAAUAGCUACCAUGAAUUUAGCACAUGGUAUGUGCCAGGAGUUAUGCUAAAUGCUCUGCGUAUGUUAUCUUACUUAAUCCUCCAAAAUUUUCCAUGGUGGUAAAAAUAAAUGUUUCUUGUUUUCAAA